CACGUAGGGCGCGAGCGUUGUCCGGAAUUAUUGGGCGUAAAGAGCUCGUAGGCGGUCUGUUGCGUCCGCUGUGAAAACUCGGGGCUUAACCCCGAGCCUGCAGUGGAUACGGGCAGACUAGAGGUAGGUAGGGGAGAAUGGAAUUCCCGGUGUAGCGGUGAAAUGCGCAGAUAUCGGGAGGAACACCGGUGGCGAAGGCGGUUCUCUGGGCCUUACCUGGCGCUGAGGAGCGAAAGCGUGGGGAGCGAACAGG
rnacentral:rRNA from 1 species